AUGGCUUCACUUGUAACAAUACAUAUGCCUUCUGUUUAUUUGCCUGACAAAAUGUCCAUCAGAAGAAUUACUCAUAUAGGAGGAUGUGGGGAGUAUUUCAAACUGAAACAAAGAAUUGAUCCUACCUACGUGAAGUGCAUUAUCUUUAAAGCCUCUGAAUAUAUUCUGCUGCUACUCCACCAGGAAAGUGCAGGGCUUCAAGAACCAAAAGAGGCCACUCGAGCCCUCUUCGGACUCAUAAGCCCUGUUGUUGUUUAUAUCCUUAACCCCAAAAGGUUGACUCUUAGCAUCUCUAUUGUUCUCCUGGCCCUUAUUAGCAUAGCUAUUUACCAUAAUGGUGUUGUUUGGAAAAAUAUAGUACAAUGCACAACAAAAUUAGUGCCACAUGUUGAUGCCACUAAUUUAUAA
rnacentral:rRNA from 1 species